rnacentral:rRNA from 1 species
UACGUAGGGGGCGAGCGUUUGUCCGGAAUCAUUGGGCGUAAAGCGCGUGUAGGCGGUCCGGUAAGUCCGCUGUGAAAGUCGGGGGGCUCAACCCUCGGAUGCCGGUGGAUACUGUCGGGCUUGAGUACGGAAGAGGCGAGUGGAAUUCCUGGUGUAGCGGUGAAAUGCGCAGAUAUCAGGAGGAACACCAAUUGCGAAGGCAG